UUUAUUGCAUUAUUUUUUUGAAAAUAAAUAUGCUAUGAUGCAAAUGAUGCAAACACGACUGGCUGGCUGUGUAUCUCGGAGCACAGGAUCAAAGCUUCGGCUUGAAUUCGGAACCACAAAGUCAUCUGAGACCCAAUCUGCAGAACCAAGUCACCAACAGGAGCCAAGAGUCACCAACAAGUCACCAACGGUCACCAACGGUACCUGUAAUAAUGAUCAUUCCCUCCCCACUCACGGGUGUCAUCUAGGUCAAGGUAAGGUUAAGAGAAAC
rnacentral:lncRNA from 1 species